GAGGGUAGAGCUCAAAGUGGUGGAGCGCAUGCUUAGCAGGCAUGAGGUCCUGGGUUCAAUCCCCAGGACCUCCU
rfam:Camelus ferus unplaced genomic scaffold scaffold668, whole genome shotgun sequence.